AUCCAGCUGACGAGCCCCAAAUGGGACGAAACGCGCGUCAUAGAU
rnacentral:hammerhead_ribozyme from 1 species